rnacentral:rRNA from 1 species
GACGAACGCUGGCGGCGUGCUUAACACAUGCAAGUCGAACGGUAAGGCUCCAGCUUGCUGGGAUACACGAGUGGCGAACGGGUGAGUAACACGUGGGUGACCUGCCCUGCACUUCGGGAUAAGCCUGGGAAACUGGGUCUAAUACCGGAUAGGACCAUGGUGUGGAUACUGUGGUGGAAAGUUUUUUCGGUGUGGGAUGGGCCCGCGGCCUAUCAGCUUGUUGGUGGGGUAAUGGCCUACCAAGGCGGCGACGGGUAGCCGGCCUGCGAGGGUGGACGGCCACAUUGGGACUGAGACACGGCCCAGACUCCUACGGGAGGCAGCAGUGGGGAAUAUUGCACAAUGGGCGGAAGCCUGAUGCAGCGACGCCGCGUGGGGGAUGACGGCCUUCGGGUUGUAAACUCCUUUCACCAUCGACGAAGGGUUUCUGACGGUAGAUGGAGAAGAAGCACCGGCUAACUACGUG